ACAGGGAUUGCCCUAGUAACGGCGAGUGAAGCGGCAACAGCUCAAAUUUGAAAUCUGGCGUCUUUGGCGUCCGAGUUGUAAUUUGCAGAGGGCGCUUUGGCAUUGGCAGCGGUCCAAGUUCCUUGGAACAGGACGUCACAGAGGGUGAGAAUCCCGUACGUGGUCGCUAGCCUUUACCGUGUAAAGCCCCUUCGACGAGUCGAGUUGUUUGGGAAUGCAGCUCUAAAUGGGAGGUAAAUUUCUUCUAAAGCUAAAUACUGGCCAGAGACCGAUAGCGCACAAGUAGAGUGAUCGAAAGAUGAAAAGCACUUUGGAAAGAGAGUUAAAAAGCACGUGAAAUUGUUGAAAGGGAAGCGCUUGCAGCCAGACUUGCCUGUAGUUGCUCAUCCGGGUUUUUACCCGGUGCACUCUUCUAUAGGCAGGCCAGCAUCAGUUUGGGCGGUUGGAUAAAGGUCUCUGUCAUGUACCUCCUUUCGGGGAGAACUUAUAGGGGAGACGACAUGCAACCAGCCUGGACUGAGGUCCGCGCAUCUGCUAGGAUGCUGGCGUAAUGGCUGUAAGCGGCCCGUCUUGAAACACGGACCAAGGAGUCUAACAUCUAUGCGAGUGUUUGGGUGUCAAGCCCGAGCGCGUAAUGAAAGUGAACGGAGGUGGGAACCUUUCGGGGUGCACCAUCGACCGAUCCUGAUGUCUUCGGAUGGAUUUGAGUAAGAGCAUAGCUGUUGGGACCCGAAAGAUGGUGAACUAUGCUUGAAUAGGGUGAAGCCAGAGGAAACUCUGGUGGAGGCUCGCAGCGGUUCUGACGUGCAAAUCGAUCGUCAAAUUUGGGCAUAGGGGCGAAAGACUAAUCGAACUAUCUAGUAGCUGGUUCCUGCCGAAGUUUCCCUCAGGAUAGCAGUAACGUUUUCAGUUUUAUGAGGUAAAGCGAAUGAUUAGAGGCCUGGGGGUUGAAACAACCUU
rnacentral:rRNA from 2 species